CCUGCCGCCGCUCGAUCACGCGCUAACGCUCGUCGCGCCGCCGCGCCCCGACCUGGAAGGGAUCGUGUGAAUACUCACCUACUACAAGAAACAUCCCUAUUCUACGCAGCAGAUAACGGGCGAGCCGUGGACGUGGGUGAUAUCGUAGCGAGAAGCUAUGUCAGCGUAGCCGAGAAGUUAAUGAUGAAAAUAAAAUUACAUUCCGUCUGUGUAAAACUCAGCACCGAUUUAAUAUUCUAUUUAUUUGCUCGAAGAGAACGAAACGUAACAAGAAAUGUGAUGCAUCUCACCUGUCUGCCGUAGCCAUUCUGUUUCAUCGCCAUUUCAUAAACAGCAAAAUGUUAAUUGUUAUCUGGCCUAUCUGACAAUGCGAUGCGAUCGCUUUAUAACAAAACUUCAUAUUUGUGCUUGUGCCAUUUUCACUGCUCACAUGGACGGAACGGCGCACGGCGUAAAAAGCAAUAUCGAUAAUUCAAUGUUAUUAUAAUUUUAGGAAAUAAAAUUAUAAUCGUU